GAAAGCUUGCACGUUUUCCAUGGUAUUUCUUUUCAUCAUAUUUUUGGAAACCAACGGUGUUUGGCCUCAGAGGGCGUGACCUUCAGACGCCGGGGCAACAAGAGCCACCUCCCUGCCUCAAUAUGGCCCCACCGGGAAACUUCCCCAGGAGACCAUUCACGGAGCCUUCCCGCCAUGAACAAAGGACAUGUCCUCAUGCUGAACAAGGAAUUCAUGCAAAAAACUACCCAAUAUGGACACACCAAUACUCCAUACUCCCCUGCCCCCAGCCAACCUCAUAAAAACACUCCACCCCACCCUGGGGGCGACUUCACUGGCCCGGCUCUGUCCAGACCAGUGAACCUUGCCAAGAGCGCUCCCAAUAAAGGCCUUUUACAUUUA